rnacentral:rRNA from 1 species
GACGAACGCUGGCGGCGUGCUUAACACAUGCAAGUCGAACGGAAAGGCUCCAGCUUGCUGGAGUACUCGAGUGGCGAACGGGUGAGUAACACGUGGGUAAUCUGCCCUGCACUCUGGGAUAAGCCUGGGAAACUGGGUCUAAUACUGGAUAUGACCUUUCUCCUUAUGGGGUUUGGUGGAAAGUUUUUCGGUGUAGGAUGAGCCCGCGGCCUAUCAGCUUGUUGGUGGGGUGAUGGCCUACCAAGGCGACGACGGGUAGCCGGCCUGAGAGGGUGAUCGGCCACAUUGGGACUGAGAUACGGCCCAGACUCCUACGGGAGGCAGCAGUGGGGAAUAUUGCACAAUGGGCGGAAGCCUGAUGCAGCGACGCCGCGUGAGGGAUGACGGCCUUCGGGUUGUAAACCUCUUUCAGCAGGGACGAAGCGUAAGUGACGGUACCUGCAGAUGAAGCACCGGCUAACUACGUG